rnacentral:rRNA from 1 species
AGUGAACGCUGGCGGUAGGCCUAACACAUGCAAGUCGAACGGCAGCACAGUAAGAGCUUGCUCUUACGGGUGGCGAGUGGCGGACGGGUGAGGAAUACAUCGGAAUCUACUUUUUCGUGGGGGAUAACGUAGGGAAACUUACGCUAAUACCGCAUACGACCUACGGGUGAAAGCAGGGGAUCUUCGGACCUUGCGCGAUUGAAUGAGCCAAUGUCGGAUUAGCUAGUUGGCGGGGUAAAGGCCCACCAAGGCGACGAUCCGUAGCUGGUCUGAGAGGAUGAUCAGCCACACUGGAACUGAGACACGGUCCAGACUCCUACGGGAGGCAGCAGCGGGGAAUAUUGGACAAUGGGCGCAAGCCUGAUCCAGCCAUACCGCGUGGGUGAAGAAGGCCUUCGGGUUGUAAAGCCCUUUUGUUGGGAAAGAAAAGCAGCAGGUUAAUACCCCGCUGUUCUGACGGUACCCAAAGAAUAAGCACCGGCUAACUUCGUG